GGAACUGAGGCACAGAGAAAUGAAGUGACUUGCUCCAGAUCAUACAGCAGACAAGUGCCUCACCAUCAGCCCCUCAGCGCAUCAAGCAGAUCUCACCUCCAUCACAUGGAGCAGUUGCUCCCUCCUGCCAGCCGUGCCUUUGGUUCUAGAACAGGGAUCCUGAAAAUGAUCAUCGUGAACUUUGCUGGAACCGAUCUUAUCCAAGAUGAAACCUGGAAAGUCAUUUUCUAAGAUCCCGGAGAAAAUGAAAAUUACCAAAGGAAUAAUUACUACAAUAGUUUACAGAUAGGUAAGAGAGGUUGUCAUUUCGACAGUAAACACGUGCACAUA